CCCAGGAGCCACAAGUGGCAACCGCUUUUAUUGGGCCUAAAGCGUCCGUAGCCUGUUUAGUAAAUUUUCUGUGAAAUCGUUAGGCUUAACUUAACGGCAUGCAGAAAACACUACUUAACUAGGGACCGGGAGGCGUCAGAGGUAUUCCGGAGGGAGCGGUAAAAUGCUAUAAUCUCCGGAGGACCCCCUGUGGCGAAGGCGUCUGACGAGAACGGAUCCGACGGUGAGGGACGAAAGCCAGGGGAGCGAACCGG
rnacentral:rRNA from 1 species